CACAGCAUUUUCUUUUUCUUGAGAUCCAGUCAAAUCUAUCACAGCUGGUUUAGCCAUCAGUUCCACAUGGCCUACCACAUCAAAUUCUUCUUCUUCUCCUUCUUCUUGCGAUCCAGUCAAGUCUAUUACAAUUGGAGUGGCCAACAGGACACUCGGAAAAUCCAUCCUGCGUUUCCUCAUCGACCCAGGUGCCCUGUUUGACAUCUA